rnacentral:lncRNA from 1 species
UCAUUUUGUUGAUAAAUAUUGUAGGUUUGUGAUUGUGAUUUGCAAUUAGGAUAAAAAAAAAGAGUUUUUGUUGAUAGAUAGGGUAUGCUUUUAGAAUUUUUGAUCAAUAAGUUGUAAUGUUUAAAUAAAAUUUCCAAAACCUACUAUUUUGGGAAACUUAUCAUUUUUUCUAUAGAAAAAUUAUAGAUUUUGGAUUGUGAUUUAGAAAUUAGAAUAAGACGGUUUUUUAUUGAUAGAUGGGUAUGUUCUUGUAAUUUUGAUCAAUACGUUAUAUUUUAUAAAUAAAAUUUCUAAAAACUACUAUUUUUAGAAAGUUAUCAUUUUUGUAUAGAACAUUGUAGAUUUGAGAUUGUAAUUUAGAAAUUAGGAUAACAAGACUUUUCUUGAUAGAUGAGUAUGGUUUUAUAAUUUUUUAUCAAUAGGUUAUCAUUUUAAAUUAAAUUUUACUAAACUUGCUAUUUUUGGAAAGUUGUCAUUUUGUUGAUAAAUAUUUUAGAUUGGAGAUUGUGAUUUAGAAAUUAGGAUAACAGAAGUUAUUGUUGAUAGAUAGGAAUGCUUUUAGAAUUUUUGAUCAAUAAGUUAUAAUGUUUAAAUAAAUUUUUCAAAGCCUACCAUUUUGGGAAAGUUAACAUUUUUCUAGAGAAUACUGAGGAUUGUGAAUUGUGAUUUAGAAAUUAGGAUAACAAGAUUUUUUGUUAAUAGAUGUGUAUGCUUUUGUAAUUAUUGAUCAAUAAUUAGAGAGUUAUCAUUUUCGUAGAGAAAUAUUGUAUAUUUGGGGUUGUGAUUUAGAAAUUAGGAUAACAAGAUUUUUUGUUAAUAGAUGUGUAUGCUUUUGUAAUUAUUGAUCAAUAAUUAGAGAGUUAUCAUUUUCGUAGAGAAAUAUUGUAUAUUUGGGGUUGUGAUUUAGAAAUUAGGAUAACAAGAGUUUUUGGCUAUAGAUGGGUAUGGUUUAAGAAUUUUUGAUCAACAUGUUAUAAUUUUAAAUAAAUUUUCCAAAACCUGCUAUUUUUGGAAAGUUGUCAUUUUGUUGAUAAAUAUUGUAGGUUUAUGAUUGUGAUUUGCAAUUAGGAUAAAUAGAGUUUUUGUUGAUAGAUAGGCAUGCUUUUAGAAUUUUUUUAUCAAUAAGUUGUAAUGUUUAAAUAAAUUUUCCAAAACCUAUUUUUUUGAGAAAGUUAUCAUUUUUCUAUAGAAAUAUUGAAGAUUUUGGAUUGUGAUGUAGAAAUUAGGAUAACAAUAGUUUUUGUUGAUAGAUGGGUAUGGUUUUAUAUUUUUUUAUCAAUAGAUUAUUAUUUAAAUU